rnacentral:lncRNA from 1 species
UCACUUUUUCCGAGCUGGAUUAACCGACCUGUGAGCUUUGCUUUUAAUCAAUGGGUUGAGCUUCUGACCCAUAACUUUGUAUGAUUCCGCGGCGUCCUUAUUGCUUCGUUCUGAGCUCGUAGCCUCUGCUUAAUGAUGAUGAAUCAAAUCCUGUACCUUUUUAAGUGAUAAGUAAGCCUGACCUUUGUCAUGUUUCCCCCUG